rnacentral:rRNA from 1 species
AAAAGGCCGCAAUAUAUUAAUUGUGCUAAGGUAGCAUAAUCAUUAGGUUUUUAAUUAGAAUCUAGAAUGAAAGGUAAAAUGAAAAAAUAACUUUUUUAUUUUUAAAAAUUGAAUUUUAUAUUUAAGUUAAAAAGCUUAAUUUUUUAAAUUAGACGAGAAGACCCUAUAGAAUUUAAUUAAUUUUAUUUAUUAAAAAUUAUUUAAAUUUAAAUUAAUUUAAUUGGGGAGAUUAUAAAAUUUAAAAAACUUUUAUUUUUUAUUCAUAAAUUUAUGUAUAAAUGAUCUUUUUUUAAUAAAAGAAAAAUUAAAUUACCUUAGGGAUAACAGCAUAAUAUUAGAAAAAAGUUCUUAUUAUUUUUAAUGUUUAUGACCUCGAUGUUGGAUUAAAUAAAUUUUAGUUGAAGAUAAUUAAAAAUUUAGUCUGUUCGACUAUUAAUAUUUUACAUGAUCUGAGUUCAAACCGGUGUAAGCCAGGUCGGUUUCUAUCU